rnacentral:rRNA from 1 species
AACGAACGCUGGCGGCAGGCCUAACACAUGCAAGUCGAACGCUCCGCAAGGAGAGUGGCAGACGGGUGAGUAACACGUGGGAAUCUUCCUAUCGGUACGGAAUAGCUCAGGAAAACUUGAGGUAAUACCGCAUACGCCCUUCGGGGGAAAGAUUUAUCGCCGAUAGAUGAGCCCGCGUCUGAUUAGCUAGUUGGUGGGGUAAUGGCCGACCAAGGCGACGAUCAGUAGCUGGUCUGAGAGGAUGACCAGCCACACUGGGACUGAGACACGGCCCAGACUCCUACGGGAGGCAGCAGUGGGGAAUAUUGGACAAUGGGCGCAAGCCUGAUCCAGCCAUGCCGCGUGAGUGACGAAGGUCUUCGGAUUGUAAAGCUCUUUUGCCAGGGACGAUAAUGACGGUACCUGGAGAAUAAGCCCCGGCUAACUUCGUGCCAGCCGCCGCUGUAACAC